ACGAACGCUGGAGGCGUGCUUAACACAUGCAAGUCGAACGGUGAAGCGCCUUCCUUUUUGGUGGGUGUGGAUGAGUGGCGAACGGGUGAGUAACACGUGAGUAACCUGCCCCCUUCUUCUGGAUAACCGCAUGAAAGUGUGGCUAAUACGGGAUAUUCUGGGUCUGUCGCAUGAUGGGUCUGGGAAAGAUAUUGUUUCGGUGGGGGAUGGGCUCGCGGCCUAUCAGCUUGUUGGUGGGGUGAUGGCCUACCAAGGCGGUGACGGGUAGCCGGCCUGAGAGGGUGGACGGUCACACUGGGACUGAGACACGGCCCAGACUCCUACGGGAGGCAGCAGUGGGGAAUAUUGCACAAUGGGCGCAAGCCUGAUGCAGCGACGCCGCGUGAGGGAUGGAGGCCUUCGGGUUGUGAACCUCUUUCGCCAGUGAAGCAGGCCUGCCUCGUUUGUGGGUGGGUUGACGGUAGCUGGAUAAGAAGCGCCGGCUAACUACGUG
rnacentral:rRNA from 1 species